CAAGGAAACAUCGAUUGAAACCAUCUGCUUCUAGAAGAGGGCCAGGUGCCACCCUGACAGAUGGGCACGGAGGCGAGCCUGGCCCGGGGCCAGCUGAGGCUGGGCCUAGUGGCAGGGAGCACAGCCUCUCCUCCGCGUGUGUGGCCGCCGCCCAAGCCUGGUCCCGGCGGAGCCCCGGGGCCGGGACCUCCGCUCUUUCUGCUUCCAGGGCGCAUCCCGCACCGCCUCGGGCUGGUAUUUUGCUGUGUCAGUGGCAAUUUUCCCUCCCGUUUUGUCUGGAGCUGCCAGACUUCAUCAGAGCAAGAGGCGUCAGACACUGAGCUGUGGCCACUUCCCCGAGGGCUAGGACACGUGACUGCACAGACAGACCUGCUCGCUGCUGCUGCUGCCGCCACCAGAGAUGGAGCACAGGGACUGGUUCAUAGUCGCUGCUCCAGGAAUCAGCAGCGUGGACUUGACCGCUGGCCCCUGUCCGGCCUCCUGUGGUGCACACGGUGGCGGCAGCAGGAAGCUACGCCCUGACUCUCCUCACCUGACCGCCGAGGAAACUGAUGCUCAGAGAGGGCCAGUCACCUGUCCAAGGCCCACAGCCAUGAAUGUAGGACCAGGACGUCCACCUGGUGGUGACCAAUCUCACGCCUGUAUCCUCAAUCGCAUCUGAAUUCCCUGUUGAAUGACCGCUCCGUUUCUAGAGGCUUCUGGCUGCAUCGCUCCAACCUCCAAUUCUGUGGCCACGUGACCUCCUAUUCCGCCCUCCCGACUGCCUCAUAGAAGGACCUUGGAGAUGACAUCAGGCUCGCUUAGAUCUGCCCAGACCAUCUUGCCCUCUCACGGUCCUUAACAGCACCUCACCCGCAAGGUCCCUUUUGGCAUCCGAGGUACCACUGGCGAGUUCUGAGAAUUAGGAGGGGCCGCCAUCUGGUCUACUACAGCCACUGCCUCUCCUGAAAGUGCUAACGGGAUGGAUGAGCGAAGGCAUGCGGGGGGUGAGCGUGUGCCCUUAGCUUGGGUGCUCCCACCAGUAGAGUCACCCCACCGAAGGCAGCAACAAAGUACCAUGAACUGGGCGGCUUACAGCAACUGGACGGAUCGCCUCCCGAGUCUGGGGGCUGGAAGCUCGGCAUCCAGGUGUGUGCAGGGUGGGUUCCUCCCAGAGACUGUGAGGGAGCAUCCAUCCCAGGCCUCCCCCAGCCUCGGCUGUCUGUCGGCAAUCCUUGCUGUUCUUUGGCUUGUAGACACAUCAUUCCAA